UACGGGGGGGGCAAGCGUUGUUCGGAAUUACUGGGCGUAAAGCGCGUGUAGGCGGGUCUUUAAGUCAGGGGUGAAAUGCCAAGGCUCAACCUUGGAACUGCCUUUGAUACUGGAGACCUUGAGUCCGGGAGAGGUGAGUGGAAUUGCGAGUGUAGAGGUGAAAUUCGUAGAUAUUCGCAAGAACACCAGUGGCGAAGGCGGCUCACUGGCCCGGAACUGACGCUGAGACGCGAAAGCGUGGGGAGCAAACAGG
rnacentral:rRNA from 1 species